rnacentral:snoRNA from 1 species
UUCCUGAUGAAAUUAAUUUUAUGAAUUUUAGGCUGUAUUGGCAGAAAAUUACUGAGCCAU